rnacentral:rRNA from 1 species
AUUGAACGCUGGCGGCAGGCUUAACACAUGCAAGUCGAGCGGGGGAAGGUAGCUUGCUACUGGACCUAGCGGCGGACGGGUGAGUAAUGCUUAGGAAUCUGCCUAUUAGUGGGGGACAACAUCUCGAAAGGGAUGCUAAUACCGCAUACGUCCUACGGGAGAAAGCAGGGGAUCUUCGGACCUUGCGCUAAUAGAUGAGCCUAAGUCGGAUUAGCUAGUUGGUGGGGUAAAGGCCUACCAAGGCGACGAUCUGUAGCGGGUCUGAGAGGAUGAGCCGCCACACUGGGACUGAGACACGGCCCAGACUCCUACGGGAGGCAGCAGUGGGGAAGAUUGGACAAUGGGGGGAACCCUGAUCCAGCCAUGCCGCGUGUGUGAAGAAGGCCUUAUGGUUGUAAAGCACUUUAAGCGAGGAGGAGGCUACUCUAGUUAAUACCUAGGGAUAGUGGACGUUACUCGCAGAAUAAGCACCGGCUAACUCUGUGCCAGCAGCCGCCGUAA